rnacentral:rRNA from 1 species
CCUACGGGGUGCAGCAGUGGGGGAUAUUGGACAAUGGGGGGAACCCUGAUCCAGCGACGCCGCGUGAGUGAAGAAGUAUUUCGGUAUGUAAAGCUCUGUCAGCAGGGAAGAAAGAAAUGACGGUACCUGACCAAGAAGCCCCGGCUAACUACGUGCCAGCAGCCGCGGUAAUACGUAGGGGGCAAGCGUUAUCCGGAAUUACUGGGUGUAAAGGGAGCGUAGACGGUUAAGUAAGUCUGGAGUGAAAGGCCGGGGCCCAACCCCGGGACUGCUCUGGAAACUAUUGAACUUGAGUGCAGGAGAGGUAAGCGGAAUUCCUAGUGUAGCGGUGAAAUGCGUAGAUAUUAGGAGGAACACCAGUGGCGAAGGCGGCUUACUGGCGCUCAACUGACGCUGAGGCACGAAAGUGCGGGUAUCGAACAGGAUUAGAUACCCUUGUAGUC